UCGGGAAUUUUGGGCAAUGGGCGAAAGCCUGACCCAGCAACGCCGCGUGAGGGAUGAAGUAUUUCGGUAUGUAAACCUCGAAAGAAUGGGAAGAAUAAAUGACGGUACCAUUUAUAAGCUCCGGCUAACUACGUGCCAGCAGCCGCGGUAAUACGGAGGGUGCGAGCGUUAUCCGGAUUUACUGGGUUUAAAGGGUGCGUAGGUGGGCUUAUAAGUCAGUGGUGAAAUCUCCAAGCUUAACUUGGAAACUGCCGUUGAUACUAUAGGUCUUGAAUUAUCUGGAGGUAAGCGGAAUAUGUCAUGUAGCGGUGAAAUGCUUAGAUAUGACAUAGAACACCAAUUGCGAAGGCAGCUUACUACAUAUAAAUUGACGCUGAGGCACGAAAGCGUGGGGAUCAAACA
rnacentral:rRNA from 1 species